rnacentral:tRNA from 1 species
AUUGAUAUAGUUUAAAUAAAACUUAGAUUUGUGGUGUCUAAAAUACUCUUAUGAGUUAUCAAUC